rnacentral:lncRNA from 1 species
GUUACCUGGCAACAGCCAGGUUGCCCAGCCCACUAUAAAAGGAGCUGCUUGCCUCCUCCUUGCCCUCCUGCUCCCUCUCUUACCCUCUCACUCUUACUCUCUUAGUCUCUGGCUCUUACUCUCACCACUUGCCCUCCUGCUUCCCCUCUCUUCCCCCCUUGUCUCCACAUGAGCAUAGCCAGUCUCUACUUCACUACUCUUUUCCCUUGCUCUGCCUUUCUACAAUAAUCGCCUUAAAAACCAUAGAGUGCCUCUUCAUAUUGGGACCUGCCUUGCUGGAGCAAUGGAGCAGGUCUUUCCCUAAAGAGCUAAGGCUCUAACCUCCCACUGGGAGGCCUCCCAGCAACAGACAAGCAAGCUGCAGACUUGGUAACAAGUUGGAGCUCUCACCUCCUUGACCCUUUCACUUAGGCCCUGGGCCAGAGAUUGCUUUUGGGCCACCACAGGUUCUCAGCUCUUCCUCGGCAUACCGCAGCAUCUGGGAUGUCUGAGAGCCUGAGAACCUGGAGACCCCGUCGGGUCCACAGGGAUCUCAGACUGUGCCUUUCCCACCCCCAAAGUGGGUCCUGCGGCCUCUUAUAACCGAACACCCACCCAGCAGUGAUGUGGGGGUGCAUGCAGUCAAACUUCCGGGGUCCUCCUCCCCCAGCUGCCCUAGCCCGGAGUGGACAGAGGCCCCUACUUUUUAACCCACAUCUUGGUCUUCUUGUAACAAUGUGAGCCAGGCUAAUUCCAAAUAAAAUAUAUAUCCCCAUAUAUAACUUAAUGGAACAUUGUAACAUGAAUAUAAACUAAAUCCUUAUACAAUUCCGAGAAAUAACCAAUGACUUUUGCUGCUAUUCCUAGAGGCAGUGUGAUGAAGUUGUAGCAUGCAUGGUAUCAUGGAGUCCAAACUGAGAAUGAACAGCUAAGAUCUGUGGAAUAUUUCAGAGAACAGGAUACAAUUGUUAACAAAAGUACCAUGAGACUGUCCAACAAGAGAAUAAUAAGAAACAAAGGCCUUUUGAGAGAGCAGGACAUACCUGUAUACACUGGAGAUAUAAAGGAAUAUCAGAACAAGGUAGAUAGUGCUAACAGAUCAUGAAAAAGGCAACUUAUAGAAGAAACCAUGUACUGGAAGUCCAGUCAGCACAAGGUACCAGUGAGAAGAGAAAAUAAAAAAUUACAAGUUCUGACAACAGGCAGCUCUCCACUUGGCUAGAAGUUUGGGAGAGCAUUAACACGAAGAGACUGUGAUAAACACUGUGUACUCCUCUACUCUGUUCGGGAACUGGACGAGAUCAUUUGCAUCUGUUUGACAGUAUGAUAUUUUGUGCUAUCUACAGGAAAUAUUCUAAUUUC